rnacentral:rRNA from 1 species
GAUGAACGCUGGCGGCGUGCCUAAUACAUGCAAGUCGAGCGAACGGACGAGAAGCUUGCUUCCCUGAUGUUAGCGGCGGACGGGUGAGUAACACGUGGAUAACCUACCUAUAAGACUGGGAUAACUUCGGGAGACCGGAGCUAAUACCGGAUGAUAUUUUGAACCGCAUGGAUCAAAAGUGAAAGACGGUCUUGCUGUCACUUAUAGAUGGAUCCGCGCUGCAUUAGCUAGUUGGUAAGGUAACGGCUUACCAAGGCAACGAUGCAUAGCCGACCUGAGAGGGUGAUCGGCCACACUGGAACUGAGGCACGGUCCAGACUCCUACGGGAGGCAGCAGUAGGGAAUCUUCCGCAAUGGGCGAAAGCCUGACGGAGCAACGCCGCGUGAGUGAUGAAGGUCUUCGGAUCGUAAAACUCUGUUAUUAGGGAAGAACAUAUGUGUAAGUAACUGUGCACGUCUUGACGGUACCUAAUCAGAAAGCCACGGCUAACUACGUG